UAAAAUCUUCUCUCUCUGUUUUUUUUUUUUUUUCCACUUCUCGUGUUCAAAUCAAGUUGAGACUAUGUUCAAUUGUCAGAUUUUGAUACUUUGAUGCGUGUUCUUGUUUUGAAAUCAAGAAAUUUUUUGUCCAAGAUUGGAAAUGACCGAAGAUUGCAGAUUUGUUGGUGAUGGCGUUUCGAUUAGUUGGUUUUUCAUAUCGAAUACACUAAUACAAAUCGAUUAGUGUUGGAAUAGUUGUUGGUGAUGUAGUAAUCGAAUACACUAAUACAAAUCGAUUAGUGUUGCAUUUGGGCUCUCAAAUCGAAUAAGAGUUGAUUGAUUUAGAGUUCAGAGUUUAGAACUACAAUGAAGUGAUGAACAGUGCAGAGGAAGCUUGAAGUUGGCAUCGUUGAGAUUGGCAUUUGUCUUGCUUGUUGGACUGCCAUUUUAUUUUGGUCUGUAACUCUGUAAUUUGGCACCUUGAUGAACUCCCAUAUAUUCUCAGUUUCUUUCUGCAUUUGGUUAAUUUGAACUUUAGGAAAUGCUUUGUAAAAUUUGAGUUUGUAUGUUUUGAUUAAUUAGUUGUUGGGAAUUUGAUCUGCUGAAA